rnacentral:lncRNA from 1 species
AGAAUGAUUUUUUUAAACCAACUAUUUUUGGUGUCAGGUUAAUUAAAUAUUUUUUCUCUCAAGAAACAUGCAGACUGUGAAGCUGAACCACAAACAACAAAUCUGUCCAACUCCUUGAAAAUUAGAAAGGAUUGAAAAGAAAUUAAUAACUCUGAGAAAACAAGAAUCAUCCAGAAAAAAGGCCAAAAUCAACACUCAGGGGAGCUUUGAUUGUUAGCUCCCCUUUUCAAAAAAGACUAGUAACCCAAACUCUGCCUCUUGCAAUGAAACUGCCACCAAUAAGAGAGAGAGAUGCAAUAUAAGAUAAACUGCCUGCAGUAAUAUUAACCCUUUCCUGACUCAAUGACAAGAAGAGAAAAUAGAUUAAAGGACCAAACAGAAGCUCUUCCUUGUGUAUGCCUUUUAACUAAAGAUCAGAAUAUGUGUUCUACCAGAUGAGGACAAAGCAUGUGUUCAUCUACAUGGGAAAUGAUCCAUCCUUGUCCUAAAUACAGACAACACCUUCUGGAGAACCAGAUCCUAUAAUGAGGAAUACAGAAACUUCUUCAGUGUUAACCAACAUAACAUUAUAAACAAGGCUAGUCUCUCAUCUCUGCAAAGAAGUGGGAUAAGGGAGAACAAGGUAGAGCAAGAAUAUUCAAGGACAAGGAAACUACUCUUGCUUUCUAUUAUGGAUACAUAUAUCCUUUUCAUUGGAGCCAAUAUCAAAGAUUAAGAAAGUUAACUUUUAUAGGAGGUGUUAAGGUG